GCAAGUCUGGUGCCAGCAGCCGCGGUAAUUCCAGCUCCAAUAGCGUAUAUUAAAGUUGUUGCAGUUAAAAAGCUCGUAGUUGAACCUUGGGCCUGGCUGACCGGUCCGCCUCACCGCGUGCACUGGUUCGGCCGGGCCUUUCCUUCUGGGGAGCCGCAUGCCCUUCACUGGGUGUGUCGGGGAACCAGGACUUUUACUUUGAAAAAAUUAGAGUGUUCAAAGCAGGCCUAUGCUCGAAUACAUUAGCAUGGAAUAAUAGAAUAGGACGUGUGGUUCUAUUUUGUUGGUUUCUAGGACCGCCGUAAUGAUUAAUAGGGAUAGUCGGGGGCAUCAGUAUUCAAUUGUCAGAGGUGAAAUUCUUGGAUUUAUUGAAGACUAACUACUGCGAAAGCAUUUGCCAAGGAUGUUUUCAUUAAUCAGUGAACGAAAGUUAGGGGAUCGAAGACGAUCAGAUACCGUCGUAGUCUUAACCAUAAACUAUGCCGACUAGGGAUCGGGCGAUGUUAUCUUUUUGACUCGCUCGGCACCUCACGAGAAAUCAAAGUUUUGGGUUCUGGGGGGAGUAUGGUCGCAAGGCUGAAACUUAAAGGAAUUGACGGAAG
rnacentral:rRNA from 1 species